rnacentral:rRNA from 1 species
UACGCUGUAAACGCUGAAUACUAGGUGUGGGAGGACUGACCCCUUCCGUGCCGCAGUUAACACAAUAAGUAUUCCACCUGGGGAGUACGACCGCAAGGUUGAAACUCAAAGGAAUUGACGGGGGCCCGCACAAGCAGUGGAUUAUGUGGUUUAAUUCGACGCAACGCGAAGAACCUUACCAGGACUUGACAUCCAACUAACGAAGCAGAGAUACAUUAGGUGCCCUUCGGGGGAAAGUUGAGACAGGUGGUGUAUGGUUGUCGUCAGCUCGUGUCGUGAGAUGUUGGGUUAAGUCCCGCAACGAGCGCAACCCCUAUUGUUAGUUGCUACGAAAGAGCACUCUAGCGAGACUGCCGUUGACAAAACGGAGGAAGGCGGGGACGACGUCAAAUCAUCAUGCCCCUUAUGUCCUGGGCUACACACGUAAUACAAUGGUGGCCAACAGAGGGAAGCAAAACCGCGAGGUAGAGCAAAACCCUAAAAGCCAUCUCAGUUCGGAUUGCAGGCUGCAACUCGCCUGCAUGAAGCUGGAAUUGCUAGUAAUCGCGGAUCAGAAAGCCGCGGUGAAUACGUUCCCGGGCCUUGUACACACCGCCCGUCACACCAU